AUUGAACGCUGGCGGCAGGCCUAACACAUGCAAGUCGAGCGGAGCGGCGGACGGGUGAGUAAUGCCUAGGAAUCUGCCUGGUAGUGGGGGAUAACGUCCGGAAACGGGCGCUAAUACCGCAUACUAUCAGAUGAGCCUAGGUGGGAUUAGCUAGUUGGUGGGGUAAAGGCCCACCAAGGCGACGAUCGGUAACUGGUAUGAGUGGAUGAGCAGGCACACUGGAACUGAGACACGGUCCAGACUCCUACGGGAGGCAGCAGUGGGGAAUAUUGGACAAUGGGCGAAAGCCUGAUCCAGCCAUGCCGCGUGUGUGAAGAAGGUCUUCGGAUUGUAAAGCACUUUAAGUUGGGAGGCGUUACCAACAGAAUAAGCACCGGCUAACUUCGUGCCAGCCGCCGCGGUAAUUC
rnacentral:rRNA from 1 species